rnacentral:lncRNA from 1 species
UCUCCCAUGUAGCCUCCAUCGGUGUGUGGUUCUGCCAUAUGACCUUUACAAAGGAAAUUUUUCGGUUGCAGAGUAAUCUGCUCUUUCGAUCAACAAUGCCGACCGGUACUUUCUCGUAAGAUAGAUCCUCCUGGAGUGGAAGAGACUCGUGGGCCAUGACAUUAGAGGAGUCCGAGUUGUAUUUGCGUAGCAUGGACACAUGAAACAUAUUGUGAACCUUGAAAAGUUCUGGAGGCAGU